AAUAACUAAGGAAACACGACAUAAAUGCACAAGAACAAGCCAACUAAGUCGCAUAAAUAUGCUCCUAUCACUAGCGACCUUCACUACUUGCGAAUAUAAAUUCAUAACGAUUAGGUGAAACAAAUUUAUAUCCUAGCACCAAAUUCAAGCAUGCAAAUUAAGCGUGCACUCUCAAUCAACAUGCAAGAAUAAGUUCUCAAUCCAACGGUUAAGCAAAUUGUAUUCACAACUUAUGCAACGAUAACUGGAAGUAAUCAACUUAUUUCACAUAUAUAAUCAUGGUUUUGAAUACACCUUUAGCCAAAACAAAAUUAGCCAAUCAUACUUAAAGCAAAACAAAGAUUACAUGAAUUAGACAUUAAAAUCCAAAGAAAGAAAACACCUAGAAUGCUCCAACUUGGCAGCAAGUGCAUCCAAGAUUUCUCCUUUCCCUUGCUUGCGGUAGAUUGGUUUGUGGACAGGUUUUGGGUAGUUUUAUGGUGUAGAAUGGAUGGGGAAUGGUAUGGAAAGGUUUAGGGUGAGUGUGGAGGAGUGUUUGAUGGUUGGAGGGUGGUGGAGAACUCGGUAAAGAUGGUGGAAGAAGGUGGAGUGGCUGUUAUGUUUUCUGGGCACUAGAAUGGUGUUUUUGGGGUGUUUUGCUGCCUAGGGUGUGUAUGGACGAAUUUUCUGUGAUGAAUGAUGAAUAUGGGAGGUGGAAUCUUUGGCCAAGGGGUGUAAACAUGUAUAUAUAGGCCCCAAAAACCCUAGAGAAUCAGGUUAGGCAAUGGAGGAAGUGUACAGUAAGGAGGGUGAAUUUGUGGUGUGCAAUGGUCCAAGGAUGAAAAUGAAGUAAUGAUGCAAAGUAUGGAGGGUAAAAUGGAGUGGUGUUGCAGCUAGGGAGCAUGAAUGAUUGUGCACAUUGAAUAGAAAUGAAAAGGGAGGUGAAAUGUUUCAGAAAUGAGUCAAAGGUGCAGCCACAUGUGUUGCACACGGCAUGGGAUUCCAAAGGUGGCUGAUGGAACAUCAAUUGGUGCAUGUAAUGGUUGUGAAUGAAGGAUGAUUUUGUGAAAACAUGUUCAUUUGAAUAACAUCUAUAGCAUGCAUUUAAUAAUUAAAAGGCGGAAUCAUGCUUGCAUGCAUUCAAAUACAAAACAUUACCCAUGAAAUUCAAAGCCUAGUAGAUUGGUGAACCAAGACUCAACUCAAAUCAAAGUGAGUUGAGAAAUAUAUACCUUUGUAGAUUCCUCUUUGCAUAAGCAAAGGCUAAUCACCCAAAGAGAGGGCCUUCAUUCCUUGCUUCUUAGAUCCAUGGAUUUGGAUGGAAGAAUAUGGUUCUCCAAGUUCCCAAAAUUGAGAACCUCUAAGUCUCCACUCCAAGGUUAGAUUUAAGUAGAAAAUGAGUGACCUUGGAGGAGUAGGAUUGCUAGCUACACCCUCAAAGGGGGCCGGCCUCCUAGAGAGAAAAGGAGAGACAUGUUCUCUCCAAUUUUCUCCAAAAGAACCCUUUAAUGAAUUUUAGGCUAUAAAGUUCUUUAUAUAGUCACUUCUUUAAAUGACUUAAGAACCAAAAACCCUAAUUCAACACACAUGGCCGGCCACAUAAGGGAUUUGAGCUUUUGGGCCUUUGUGAAUCUUUAUUCAUUAAAUUGUCAUACAACUUAAGUUAAUGGGCUUGACGUUCGAAGCCCAUUGGGCCUUAAGGUCUAAAACUAUCCCGAGGUCUUUAACGAACUUAUUUGUUUGAUUAAUUAACAUAUUAAUUAAUCCUUGCCAUAAACAAUUAAACCAUUUAAUUAUUCUUACUCAUCUCCAUUGUUUCUUCAAUCUCCACCUUACACGGUGUACGAUCCAUUAGGUUCCUUUUAGCGAGGCAGUGGGUGAUUAGAACUCUUUCAAAUUGAUUGUGAAUUGAAACUUACUUUCAAUUCUCCCUUUAGUGUUUAUACACGUUUAGGGCUUCCACAAACCUAGAGUGACACCUAGCAGCAUAUCAUGGUUACCCAAGCUAAUCAGAAGAGGUAGAGAACCUAUUCAGUUUAGGAUUACAAAUGUAAUACGGUCUUUCUCUAAUACAAUACUCUUGACCACAUUGUUUGGUUUGAUAGUUUAUUCAUGUCUACUAUCCAAUGUGAUUCGUGUGCUUAUAUGAUUACCUUGAAUGUGAUUUGGAACGACUUUCCUAAAUCUCAUUCAUACUCUGGCCAGAGAUUCUUAAUCAUAUCAUAGAGUAUUCUCCCUCAAACAGUUUGAAGGUUAGAGAUCCCUUGUUGCGCAUUCACUUGCCUCCAUAGCUAAGUGGCUUAACCCCAACGAUGCCGUGGACACCCGCGGAUGGGGUGACUUUGACAUAAUCAAAGAUCAAGGACUUAACCACAAGACAAACGUGAUGCCUCAGGUCAAAUGACUACUUUGCAUUAUCCUAACCAUGAGUUCUCAUGUGACAUGAAUAUGAGAACUCUUCGUUGAUCGUGUUCAGUGAACUCAUUCUCUAUUGAGCACCUAUGUACUUGUCUUGAUGUCACACACACCAAUGACUCGAGACUAGUCACUCUCCCUGAGAGAAGAUACAGCACGUACUGAUCUUAACGGACUGUCAAUGCCCAAUUGGCAAUCCUAUGAUCAGGAACGUUUAGGAUGUGUCUACGAAAGAAUGGUCUCAUAAAUCUAACUUCUUUGGAUUGCAUUCUCCCAAUCACAUAUUCCUUGGACUUAUCGUUUAAGCAUAUAACAUUUAUAUGAGACGGCUCAAACAAUAAUCUUUACCCUCGAUAUUAAACUAGAUUAGUUUAACAUGUGAAAUGUCCGUAAAGUAUCAUCAUAUGAUUGGUUUUAGGGCACAUUUCCAACAGUGAAAGUUGUAUGAAAUCUGAUGGGUGAAGGGAACAAGAGGUAUGCAGCAAUUGAGUGUAAUAAUUAAAUGUAUUGAGGCAUGAAAUCAGAAAUAAUGUAGGGGACAAGGGUGAUUAAGCAUGGCAUGGGAAUCCAAAGGGAAUACAAUGGUGAUUGCACGGCAAGGAAGGUGCAUUGUGGAGUGACACCCUUUUGUGGCUGAGUUCUUUAUCCUUUGUACAAUAAUUCUUCACAUUCUUAGCCUCUUUAGUCUUCAAUUUCGUCCAUCCACCUUGCUCCAUGCAUUUGCUAUCCAUUCCAAACCCGAAACUGCUCCAAAGGCCUCCAAAAUGCAUCUUCUUGCAUACUUUGUCCUUAGAAUCUGAAAACACACAAAAAUGACUUUAAACACUAAAAUAACUAAGAAAACACAACGUAAAUGCACAAGAACAAGCUAACUAAGUCACAUAAAUAUGCUCCUAUCAAAUUCCCCCACACUUAGCUUUUGCUAGUCCUCGAGCAAAACAAAAUAAACUAAACAAAACAAACCAACAAAACGAACAAAACCCAACCUAAACCUUCCAACGUUUGCCUCAGGGAUUUCCAAUGCACAUGACAUGUUAAAAAUUGUCAUCCCCACAGAUUUUAGUUGUCUUCUCACUUAAGCACAUACUUAAUCAUAGUCACCACUUACUAGUUCACAUUUAAGCAAUUAAAACAAUGUUUUGAAUGUAGUAACAUGCCUUAGAGAAUUUGCUCAAGUUCCUUACAAGAUAUUCACUCAAUUUUCACUCAGAUUUUUCUAACUACACACCCUAUACUAGUUAUAUGUGAGAAGAUUGAUGUAAACAUGAAAACGAACGCUCACAUAUAUGUAUUACAAAGAAAGCGAUUUCUGGAGCAUGUUUAGAUAUGAUCUCAUGAAUGGAAUGCUACUACUUAGAUGCGAGAACCAGUGACACCAUAUGCUCAUAUCAAAUUCAAACUCCACAAAUUGAAACACAUAACACUCAAGAUUGAAGUCAAGGUUGUAACGAGGCUUGGGGGUGUUGGCUAACAAAUGAAAGUAAGGGAAAAACAAACGUUCUUAAAGCAAUAGCAAAUAAAGUAAUGAACUUGAACUUAGAAUUCACUUAAAUUGCAGAAAUCAACUUUUAGACAUAAGGGAAAGAUUUAAACAACUCUUUAGGGUCAAAUUCAACUUUUUUUUUUUUUUCAUAGCACGAAUUUUUCUUUUCUUUUCUUUCCACCCGUGCCUAUGGCACACUACUUACAUGAGAAACACUUCCCCCACACUUGUUUUCUGCCAAACAUUACUCAAAAGGAAUUCAAUUUGAAUCAUGCUUUACUAUACUUUAAGAACAAGGGUAUGGAUGGUCCUAAUCUAGGCUAGGUGAGGAUAACGUGGGUUAACAAAGAACGUAGGCUAACAAGGCUCAAUGGGGUUAACUUAAACAAAUAAUGAAGUAGGAUACACGGCAAUUUGGCUUUGGUGGUGGUAACUACACAACUUCAUCUUGAAUAUGUGUUAUGCAAAUCAAUAUCAUGCUUUGAAUGAAAUGGGCAUGAGUUCUAGCAUUUGGAACUAAAUGAUGAAAUGCCUUCUAAGUAGUAACCAAGCAAAGAAAAAUGAGAUCAUGCAACGACUUUAGAAAACAAUAAUGCACAGAUUAUCAACUCUCCAAAUAACGUUUAGGCUCAAGUCCCACAAGGUUGUAGCGUUUGUUUGAGUUCCUUCCUUCAAGCAUGUUACAAAAACUAAUUUUUCCUUUAUGAUUGCAUGUGAAUUCAUAAAUUAUAACCACAACCAAGCAUACACCAAAGAGUAAAUCAAAUGUUCAUCCAUGUUUAUAACUCUCUUUAACAGUCAUGUAAUUAAAAACCAAAUCCUCAUCCUUGUGUUGGAAGGUACCCUAAGACACAAACAAAAACAACUCUUUUUGGUUUUUUUUUCAAAACAAUUUUUCAAAUUUUUAUGAGAUUUUCAGAUUUUUAUGUCAAAACACACUAAAAUACUCCAAAAUACCUUAAAAAACACUUAAAAGAGCAAGGAACAACAUUAGAAGUAAUGGGUGAUAAACUCCUACGAAUUUCAUGCAAAACAAUGGUUACCCCCCCACACUUAAAUCAAACAUUGUCCUCAAUGUUUCAAGCAUAAACUCGCACAAAAACAAGCAAAUAAACAAACAACGAAUAAACAUGACAAGUAUAGCAAAGUAAACAAAAAAAAAUAGACAGAGUAGAGUUUAAGAACGCAAAUCUGGUUUUGGAGAUAGAUGAUCUUGUUAUCUUUCCACAGCUUUGAUCUCGAACUGGUUUGUAUUUCUGAGCGAGAAAUAUGAGAGUUCCUUGGUUUCAAAUCAGACUCCUUCUGCUGGGAUGAUUUGAUUGUGCAGUCUGCAUUCUUCUCUGCUUGUUUCUUCUGCACGGCGGGCAGGCACGAGGUAAAGGUGUUGGUCUGUUUCUUUCUUCAAUCUUUCCAAGUGCCCACCUCUUGCUUUCUUUCUCCUUGUCCCUAGCUGAUUGGUAAAUUGUCUCCACAUGCUUAGAGGUAUCAUUUUCACUUCCCUUAUCUGUUCCCCAGGCAGAUGUGGUAGACGAAGAGGAAGCACAAGAUGAUGAAGAUGAGUACUCGAGAGCAAGGCUAGGUAAGCAAUCAGGAAGGCGUUCUAAGCAGUCGGUUCCAGAUCGGAAGAUUGAUGCCAAGUGCUGGCUGGUUGCUUUCCUUCUCCUAGUCCUACAAGUUAGAACAAAGACAAGGAAAAGGACACGGAGAAUGCCUGAUAUGAGAUACUCUUGCUUUCUACCUUCAUGAUAUGAAAUACUUUUGCUCUAGAUGGGUUGUUCGCAGGAGUAUCCCAAGGAAUGAGGAAUACAGAGUGACUCGUGAGGGUUUGUUGGAAAGCUAUUUCAGAGAGGAUGAAAGGUUAAGUGAGGCUGAAAGUUGGGUGAGGCUGCCUCACUAUGAAGUUCAACAUUUAUAGAAUUUUCUUAAUGGCUGGGAAGGCAUUGUUCCAUUACUCGUGUCGGCAAGCCUGGGAUAAUUUAACAGUACACUUCAUGUGCAUUCUGCUUCUCCAGAAAUCUUCGACAGAUUGCGCGUGAUUUACGCAACACAGAUGUGCAAUUGACAGAUGCUGACACGUCUUGAUAAAGCAGAUGCCUCUUUAAUAUCCGGAAUUUGCGCUUCGAGUUCUGAGCUUCGUUGAGGGCAAAGAUUGCAUGUGACAAGUGUGGACAAAUCUAGAAAACGAAGAUUGGCCCGGAGUUUCAAGCCCAACUUUUGAGAAAGCGAGUGCCUCCUUGAGAACUGGAAUCGGUGGUUUGUAAGCAAGCCCAACUUUUGAGAAAGUUGGCGCCUCUUCGAUCUUUGAAUUGGCUUCUUCGAUUUCUGAGCUCACUUUUUCGAUCUCUGAAAUCCCAUCGCGUGCUGAUUUUUAUAGAGGUAUGCAGGACGUUCAAAGCACACUUGAAUUUCUGCCUGUAAGAACUCCAGUUUUGCACUUCUACGAUCUUGACUUGUCCGAUCUCAUCUUUCUUUAACACCUUUGAAAAAUGUCUGGCCCUUCCGACCGUCGUUUUGACUUGAACCUUGGUGAAGAGGUAGCCCCGCCUUCUCCAGACAACAUAUGGCGCCCAUUCUUCAUAUCCCCUACUGGUCCUCUUACCGUUGGGGAUUCGGUGAUGAAGAAUGACAUAACCGCUGCGGUGGUGGCCCGGAACCUUGUCACUCCUAAAGAUAACAGACUGCUUUCCAGACGGUCUGAUGAGUUGGCUGUUAAGGAGUCUCUGGCUCUUAGUGUGCAGUGUGCGGGUUCUGUGUCCAACAUGGCCCAACGCCUAUUUGCUCGAACUCGUCAAGUUGAAUCGUUGGUGGCUGAAGUAAUGAAUCUCAAGCCAGAGAUUAGAGGGCUUAAGCAUGAAAAUAAACAAUUGUACAAGCUCACAAACAACUAUGCCACAAACAUGAAGAGGAAAAUUGACCAGAUGCAGGAAUCUGAUGGUCAAAUUUUAAUUGAUCAUCGGAGGUUUGUGGGUUUGUUCCAACAGCAUUUGCCUUCGUCUUCUGGGGCUGUACCGCGUAGUGAAGCUCCAAAUGAUCAACCUUCGAUACCUCCUCCUUCUGUGGCCCCACCGACUGCUGAGACUCCGCCGACUACUGAGACUUCUCCUAAGCAGCCUUUGUGAAGGCUCCCUCUUGUAUUAUGCUGUGUUUCUUUAUUUCCCAGUUUCCUGUUCAUUUCCAUGAAGUUUAAUGUUAAAAUCCUUUGCAUAUUUGUUAAUGUUUCAAAAUAGAAAACCAUACCCAAAAAUAAUUAAACAAGCAAUAAUAUUGACAAUCAUGGCAGAAUAAAUGGGUUGCCUCCCAAGAAGCGCUUGCUUUAACGUCUUCCAGCCGGACGAUGCCACAUUGAUCAACCUUCAUGGGAACCCACGGCAUAGUGGGUUGUCUCCUCCACAUCAUGUUCUACAAAGCUCUCGUAGUAAGGCUUCACGCGAUGCCCAUUCACCUUGAACUCUUGACCUGUUUUGAAACUACGAACUUGGACUGCACCAUGAGGAAAAAUAUUAGUGAUAACAAAGGGUCCAAUCCAACGUGAACGUAGCUUACCCGGAAAUAGACAAAGAUGAGAAUUAAACAACAACACUUUUUGUCCAACAGAGAAGGACUUGGUGCAAAUCAUCUUGUCAUGAAAGGCCUUCGUCUUUUCCUUGUAAAGUCGAGCAUUCUCGUAAGCUUCAUUCCGUAUUUCCUCAAGUUCAUUCAAUUGAAGCUUACAAUGAAUUCCCGCCUCAUCUACAUCCAUGUUGAACUUCCUCACGGCCCAAUGGGCCUUGUGCUCCAACUCCACAGGUAAGUGACAUGGUUUUCCAUACACAAGCCGAAAGGGGGACAUUCCUAUGGGUGUUUUAUAGGCGGUCCUAUAAGCCCACAAUGCAUCUUCUAACCUCAAGCUCCAAUCUUUUCUUGUUGGCCUAACUGUCUUCUCCAGAAUCUGUUUUAUCUCCCGAUUCGACACCUCGGCUUGCCCGCUUGUUUGAGGAUGAUAGGGUGUCGAAACCCUAUGUGUAACGUUGUACUUCUUAAGCAGUGCCUCGAUUGUGCGAUUACAAAAAUGUGAACCUCCAUCACUUAUAAGAACUCGAGGCAUUCCAAACCUAGCAAAAAUGUUAGACUUCACAAAUUCUGCAACCACUUUGGAAUCGUUAGUCUGGGUGGCUUUUGCUUCCACCCAUUUGGAAACAUAAUCCACCGCCAACAAGAUAUAGAGAAAACCAUGUGAUGACGGAAAAGGGCCCAUAAAAUCAAUUCCCCACACAUCAAAUAUUUCAACAGAAAGUAUAGGGUUUUGUGGCAUUUGAUCCUUAGCACUUAUAUUACCCAUUCGUUUACAACGAUCACAUGUAAGGCAAAAUGUCCUAGCAUCCCUAAAAAUGGUUGGCCAAUAAAACCCACAUUCUAAGACUUUAAGGGCAGUGCGUUGGGUGCCAAAAUGUCCCCCACAUGCAUAUGAAUGACAGAAUGUUAAAAUAGAUUGAAACUCAGAUUCAUUCACACAACGGCAUACAAUCUGAUCGGGACAAAAUUUCCAAAGGUAUGGAUCAUCCCAAACAUAAAACCUAGCAUCCUUUUUAAGCUUAUCACGUUGAUUCCUAUUAAGUGUGCUAGGGAUAUGUUUAGACACCAGGAAGUUCACCAAAUAUGCAUACCAAGGCUCACUUACCUGAAUAGACAUUAAUUGUUCAUCGGGGAAGGUUUCAGAAAUUGGCGAUGCUUCCUCAUGCACCAUUCGACUUAGGUGGUCAGCCAUCACAUUCUCCAUGCCCUUCUUAUCCCGAAUCCCAAUGUCAAACUCUUGUAGAAGCAACAUCCAUCGAAUUAGUCUAGGCUUGGCCUUCUUUUUCGUGAGCAAAUACUUGAGAGCUGCAUGAUCAGUAAAAAUAAUAACUUUAGUACCAAGUAAGUAUGAUCGGAACUUAUCUAAUGCAAAUACCACAGCAAGUAAUUCUUUUUCAGUGGUGGAGUAAUUUAAUUGAGCAUCAUUUAGUGUCCUAGAGGCAUAAUAAAUAACAUGAGGUUGUUUGUUCUUUCGCUGCCCCAAAACAGCACUAAUCGCAUAGUCCGAAGCAUCGCACAUCAACUCGAAUGGAAGGCUCCAAUCUGGAGGUGUGCUAAUGGGAGCCGAAGUAAGAGCUUCUUUUAAUUGCUUGAAUGUCGUGGAGCAUGCAUCAUCAAACUCGAAAGACACCUCUUUUUGAAACAAUCGGCAUAGUGGUUGUGCAAUCUUGGAGAAAUCCUUUAUGAAACGCCUAUAAAAACCUGCGUGACCAAGAAACGAACGAACCUCUCUAACCGAAGUUGGAGAGGGUAAGUGACAAACAAGGUCUACCUUAGAUUUAUCCACUUCAAUGCCUUCUUCAGAAAUAAUAUGUCCUAGAACAAUACCUUGCUUAACCAUGAAGUGACAUUUUUCCCAAUUAAGCACAAGAUUCGUUUCAACACAACGUUUCAAAAUUAAGGUCAGAUUACUCAAGCAAUGAUCGAAUGAAUUACCAAACACGCUAAAAUCAUCCAUGAAUAUCUCAAUAAUUUUCUCCACAUAAUCAUAAAAGAUACUCACCAUGCAUCGUUGAAAUGUCGGAGGGGCAUUGCACAAACCAAAUGGCAUGCGCCUGUAUGCAAAGGUGCCAAAGGGGCACGAGAACGUUGUCUUUUCUUGGUCCUCCGGAGCUAUCACAAUUUGGUUAUAUCCGGAAUAUCCAUCAAGAAAGCAAUAAAAUUGAUAACUGGCUAACCUUUCUAACAUUUGGUCCAGGAAUGGCAACGGAAAGUGAUCCUUCCUUGUCAUGGCAUUUAACAUCCUAUAAUCAAUACAAACACGCCAACCGGUCACCACACGAGUGGGUACAAGCUCUUGUUCUUCAUUCUUCACCACCAUAACUCCGGACUUCUUUGGGACAACCUGCACGGGAGACACCCAACGACUAUCAGAAAUAGGGUAUAUAACACCACAAUCAAGCAAUUUUAUAACCUCUUUCUUUACUACUUCCAACAUGGGUGGAUUAAGGCGAUGUUGAGCCUCCCGAGAUGGCUUAGCUCCCUUCUCCAAAAGGAUGCGAUGCAUGCACGUGGUGGGACUAAUGCCUUUGAUAUCCGCCAAGGUCCAUCUAAUGGCAGAUUUGUGGUCUUUUAACACCCUUAUCAACUUGUCUUCUUCUUGGGCCGUGAGUGAGCUAGAUAUGAUGACGGGUAAUGUCUGAUCUUCUCCCAAGAAAACAUACUUCAAGUGACAAGGUAAUGGCUUCAACUCCAGUGUAGGUGGUUGCACAAUUGAUGGAAGUAACUUGUUAGCCAAAACCGAAUCUAAAAUUGAGAGUGGAGACUUACCAGAUUGUGAGGGUAACGACGCGAGGGCACCGACCAUUUCAAAUACUUCACCAUAAGGGGGCACGGCAAUAUGAUCAGAUUCCAUGCCGUGGGUUGGAAGGAUUCCCCCACCUUCAUUUCUUGCUCCUAUGUCGUGUACUAAGGCUAUUUCAAGUGCAUCGUCGUUCAUUCGAUCCAAAUGUACCUGUGCCAAAGAAUCAACAAUGUCAAUAGCAAAACAAGAAUGGUCCUCAAUUGGAUAUUUAAUGGUUUCAGAAAGAUUAAAACGAAUAAUGUCCCCAUCAAACUCCAUGGUCAAUGUUCCCAUGAACACGUCUAUCUUUGUUCUCGCUGUUUUCAUGAAUGGUCGGCCUAGCAAGAUUGGCAAUGAUGGAGCAUGGCUCGAAUCCUCCAUUUCUAAGACAUAAAAAUCUGCAGGAAAGAUAAGAUGAUUGACCUGCACUAAAACAUCCUUAAGGACUCCCUUGGGAUAUGCGUUAGAACGAUCGGCCAAUUGAAUUAUAACACCAUCCUGUUUUAACUCACCAAGGUUCAUUGAUGCAUAAAUGGAAUAUGGCAUAACAUUAAUAGAAGCACCUAGAUCUAACAUGCAUUGUUCAAAUCUAGUGUUUCCAAUUAUGCAUGGGAUAGUAAAGCUCCCUGGAUCCUUACACUUUGGAGGUAACUUUCGUUGCAAAACCGCGAAUACAUUUUCACUUACUUUCAUAACUUCUUUAGUUGAAAUUCUUUUCCUAGUUGUGCAUAACUCUUUUAAAAACUUUGCAUACUUGUGCACUUGCUUAAUAGCAUCAAGUAAAGGAAUGUUUACUUGGACUUUUCGAAAGGUAUCCAAAAUGUCCUUUUCGCUUUCUUCCUUCUUCGAUUGUGCAAAUCUGCGAGGGAAAGGAAUAUUUGGCAGAUUAGUGUUCGAAAUCACAACAUUUGGGACAAUCUUACCUGGGGUGGACGGAUGGGAGGUCUUAGAUAGCUGCGGCAUGGGUUAUGCUACCUUUUCCGUAGGGUAAGUUUGCUCAUCUUCUUCAAUUUGUAUCUUCUCAUCUUCCUUGUUUCUCACUUCUUUUCCACUUCUUAGUGUGAUAGCUUUUGCAGAUUUGAAACCACCAUUGGGAUUGACCACCGUAGUGCUUGGUAACUUACCAUUUUCACGGAAUUGUCCCAAAAACUCGGCCAUUUGGCCCAUUUUCUUCUUUAGCUCAUUAACCUCCUUUGCUUGGUUCUGCAUUCCCUGCGCCAGUGUGGUUAGUAACUGAUAUGUUUUAUCGUCAUUCAUAGACGUACCUAUGUUGGGUUGGGAUGAUUGUGCUUGAGGAGGUGGUUGUGGUGCCAUUGGCCUCGGAAAGAAACCUGGGGGUUGUCGGAAUCCACUUUGUUGGCCAUAUUGUGGUGCAUCUCUCCAUCUGAAAUUGGGGUGGUCACGCCAUCCCGGAUUGUAUGUAUUGGAGAAAGGAUCACCCCUUGGUUGGUUUUGAUUCCCAUAACCCACAGCAUUUGCAGAUUCCCACAUUCCAUUCUCAAUUAAUUGAAGGCAUUGAUCAGAUUGGUGUCCUUAAAUGGAGCAUACACUGCAGAUUGUAGUUCCUUGCGCUUUGGGGCCUUCAACAAACUGCGAUAACAUAGACGUAAGGUUAGCCAUUUGGGAUUGUAACUCAGAAAUAGAACUUACAAUGUGGCCGUGGGGUGUCUCUUUGCCCAACACCUUCAUAUUGUUGUGCAUUGAGUGCUCGAUUAGCAAUGAGAGUUUUGGCAUCCCUAGGUGUCUUGUCCACUAGAGCUCCUCCAGCAGAUGCAUCCAACAUUUGUCGUUCAAGUGGUAAAAGGCCUUCGUAAAAAUAUUGAAGAAGUAGCUCUUCCUUCAUUUGGUAUUGUGGACGAGAAGCAACAAGAGCUUUAAAACGUUCAUAAUAAGUUGGAAAAGAUUCACCUUGGCUUUGCUGAAUUCCACUAAUCUUCUUGCGAAGAAGAAUGACUCGUGAUGUUGGAAAGAACUUCUUUAAGAAGGCUCGCUUCAUACUCUCCCAUGAUGUGACAGUUCCGGGAGCCAACUCAUACAACCAAUCCUUGGCCUUCUCCAACAAAGAAAAAGGAAAAGUUUUCAUCUUCAAUAUGUUGCUAUCCACGUUCAUCGGUGUCAUACUUGAGCAUACUACUUCAAACUCCUUUAAGUGUUUAUUGGGGUCCUCCAUUGAUAACCCAUGGAACUUGGGUAUAUGAUGUAGCAAACUUGACUUCAACUCAAAUUCAUCGGUCUUCUCAAGGUCUGCCCUAGGGUAUUGGAUGCAAAGAGGGGCUGCAUUGGCCAAACCCGAGGCAGAAAGCUCCUUGAUGGUUCGAUUGUCUACUGCCAUGGUUGGUACUUCCUCUUCACACCUUGCCGUGGCCUCCUCUUCAACCUCAACUUCUUGCUCUUCUAAUUCAGGUUCGGGACUAGGAGGAUUAGACUUUUGCAACCUCUUUUUCCUUCUCAAAGUUCUCUCAAAAUCACUGUCAAAGUCGAAGAUAUGCUCACGAACAGGUUAUGAGCUGCGGGUCAUAAAAUAGUACCUACACACAAGAGCAAACAAAGUUAGUAACCAACUUAAUAGACUCGGCACAAGUAAGGAAAUAAGGUGCCUAUACACGGCACAAAAACAAAACACACCCACGGUGCAAAAUUAAAACAAAACAGAAACUAAACAAUUUAAACAAGACUCAAGACAAGGGAUUAGCGACUUUGUCAAUCCCCGGCAACGGCGCCAAAAUUUGAUGCGUAAAAUAACUAAACACACAAAUUAAACCCUAUUUGUGACAAUUGUAGUAAUGAUAAGUAGGGAUCAUUCUAACCGGGGAUUAACUAGGGGUGCUAAUCUAAUAUAAAUUGAUUCAAAAACACAAAAACUAAACUUAAAGACUCUAACAAGACUACUAUGACUCAAAACAGAUUUAAAGCACUCAAAACUGCCUAAAACAAUCAAAUUGACUCAAAAAGAAACUAGAAUCAUUGAAUUGGAUGAAUAUGCAUCGCAAACAAAUUAUUCCUAACAAGUUCUCUAUAUGCAUAGCAUGAUAAAGACACAAGUUAGAAUCAUUACGUUCUUUGGAAAUCAUAAGCAUCGACAAGGCAUUUGUAACUAUGAAAAGCAUGAUACUUUUGCCAGGAAUCUACUUAACACGAUCGUGACUAGCGACCUUCACUACUUGCGAAUAUAAAUUCAUAAUGAUUAGGUGAAACAAAUUUAUAUCCUAGCACCAAAUUCAAGCAUGCAAAUUAAGCGUGCACUCUCAAUCAAGAUGCAAGAAUAAGUUCUCAAUCCAACGGUUAAGCAAAUUGUAUUCACAACUUAUGCAACGAUAACUGGAAGUAAUCAACUUAUUUCACAUAUAUAAUCAUGGUUUUGAAUACACCCUUAGCCAAAACAAAAUUAGCCAAUCAUACUUAAAGCAAAACAAAGAUUACAUGAAUUCGACAUUAAAAUCCAAAGAAAGGAAACACCUAGAAUACUCCAACUUGGGAGCAAGUGCAUCUAAGAUUUCUCCUUUCCGUUGCUUGAGGCAGAUUGGUUUGUGGACAGGUUUUGGGUAGUUUUAUGGUGUAGAAUGGAUGGGAAAUGGUAUGGAAAGGUUUAGGGUGAGUGUGGAGGAGUGUUUGAUGGUUGGAGGGUGGUGGAGAACUCGACAAAGAGGGUGGAAGAAGGUGGAGUGGCUGUUAUGUUUUCUGGGCACUAGAAUGGUGUUUUUG
rnacentral:lncRNA from 1 species